rnacentral:rRNA from 1 species
AUUGAACGCUGGCGGCAUGCCUUACACAUGCAAGUCGAACGGCAGCACGGGUGCUUGCACCUGGUGGCGAGUGGCGAACGGGUGAGUAAUACAUCGGAACAUGUCCUGUAGUGGGGGAUAGCCCGGCGAAAGCCGGAUUAAUACCGCAUACGAUCUACGGAUGAAAGCGGGGGACCUUCGGGCCUCGCGCUAUAGGGUUGGCCGAUGGCUGAUUAGCUAGUUGGUGGGGUAAAGGCCUACCAAGGCGACGAUCAGUAGCGGGUCUGAGAGGACGACCAGCCACACUGGGACUGAGACACGGCCCAGACUCCUACGGGAGGCAGCAGUGGGGAAUUUUGGACAAUGGGCGAAAGCCUGAUCCAGCAAUGCCGCGUGUGUGAAGAAGGCCUUCGGGUUGUAAAGCACUUUUGUCCGGAAAGAAAUCCUUGGCUCUAAUACAGUCGGGGGAUGACGGUACCGGAAGAAUAAGCACCGGCUAACUACGUG